CCUACGGGGGGCUGCAGUGGGGAAUAUUGGACAAUGGGCGAAAGCCUGAUCCAGCCAUGCCGCGUGUGUGAAGAAGGCCUUCGGGUUGUAAAGCACUUUCAGUGGGGAAGAAAGCCUUGGGGCUAAUACCCUCGAGGAAGGACAUCACCCACAGAAGAAGCACCGGCUAACUCCGUGCCAGCAGCCGCGGUAAUACGGAGGGUGCGAGCGUUAAUCGGAAUUACUGGGCGUAAAGCGCGCGUAGGCGGUCUGAUAAGCCGGUUGUGAAAGCCCCGGGCUCAACCUGGGAACGGCAUCCGGAACUGUCAGGCUGGAGUGCAGGAGAGGAAGGUAGAAUUCCCGGUGUAGCGGUGAAAUGCGUAGAGAUCGGGAGGAAUACCAGUGGCGAAGGCGGCCUUCUGGACUGACACUGACGCUGAGGUGCGAAAGCGUGGGUAGCAAACAGGAUUAGAUACCCCGGUAGUC
rnacentral:rRNA from 1 species